UGGGGAAUAUUGGACAAUGGGCGAAAGCCUGAUCCAGCCAUGCCGCGUGUGUGAAGAAGGUCUUCGGAUUGUAAAGCACUUUAAGUUGGGAGGAAGGGCAGUAAGCGAAUACCUUGCUGUUUUGACGUUACCGACAGAAUAAGCACCGGCUAACUCUGUGCCAGCAGCCGCGGUAAUACAGAGGGUGCAAGCGUUAAUCGGAAUUACUGGGCGUAAAGCGCGCGUAGGUGGUUCGUUAAGUUGAAUGUGAAAGCCCCGGGCUCAACCUGGGAACUGCAUCCAAAACUGGCGAGCUAGAGUAGGGCAGAGGGUGGUGGAAUUUCCUGUGUAGCGGUGAAAUGCGUAGAUAUAGGAAGGAACACCAGUGGCGAAGGCGACCACCUGGGCUCAUACUGACACUGAGGUGCGAAAGCGUGGGGAGCAAACAG
rnacentral:rRNA from 1 species